rnacentral:rRNA from 1 species
GACGAACGCUGGCGGCGUGCUUAACACAUGCAAGUCGAGCGGUAAGGCCCUUUCGGGGGUACACGAGCGACGAACGGGUGAGUAACACGUGGGUGACCUGCCCUUAGCUCUGGGAUAAGCCUGGGAAACUGGGUCUAAUACCGGAUAUGACUCCAUGAUGCAUGUUGUGGGGUGGAAAGCCUUGUGCGGCUAGGGAUGGGCCCGCGGCCUAUCAGCUUGUUGGUGGGGUGAUGGCCUACCAAGGCGACGACGGGUAGCCGGCCUGAGAGGGCGACCGGCCACACUGGGACUGAGACACGGCCCAGACUCCUACGGGAAGCAGCAGUGGGGAAUCUUGCGCAAUGGGCGAAAGCCUGACGCAGCGACGCCGCGUGAGGGAUGACGGCCU